rnacentral:rRNA from 1 species
GAUGAACGCUGGCGGCGUGCCUAACACAUGCAAGUCGAACGGAGUCCAGCCUUUAAGACCUUCGGGUCAAAGAGGGGAAGACUGAGUGGCGGACGGGUGAGUAACACGUGGGCAACCUGGCUCAUAGAGGGGGAUAACAGAGAGAAAUUUCUGCUAAUACCGCAUAAGCACACACUGCCGCAUGGCAGAGGGUGAAAAGAGAAUCGCUAUGAGAUGGACCCGCGUCUGAUUAGCCAGUUGGCAGGGUAAGAGCCUACCAAAGCGACGAUCAGUAGCCGAUUGGGAGGGAGGAACGGCAAAAUUGGGAAUGAGACCCGGCCCAAACUCCCCCGGGAGGGAGCAGGGGGGGAUAUUGAAAAAGGGGGGGAACCCUGAUGCAGCGACGCCGGGGGAGUAAAGAAGUAUUUCGGUAUGUAAAGCUCUAUCAGCAGGGAAGAUAAUGACAGUCCCUAAAAAAGAAGCCCCGGCUAACUACGU